rnacentral:rRNA from 1 species
UACGUAGGCAGCAAGCGUUGUUCGGAAUUAUUGGGCGUAAAGAGCUCGUAGGCGGUUUGUCGCGUCUGCCGUGAAAGUCCGGGGCUCAACUCCGGAUCUGCGGUGGGUACGGGCAGACUAGAGUGAUGUAGGGGAGACUGGAAUUCCUGGUGUAGCGGUGAAAUGCGCAGAUAUCAGGAGGAACACCGAUGGCGAAGGCAGGUCUCUGGGCAUUAACUGACGCUGAGGAGCGAAAGCAUGGGGAGCGAACAGG